CAUUUUAUUUCUUUAUUUUUCUAUUGUUUUUCAAAAAAAAAGAAGCAGAAUGCUUCUUCUUCCUUGCUCCCUCUCCAUUUUUGCUAAGAAUUCAACCUAGCUUGCGCUACCCUAGAGGAUCAUCGGUGCCACGCACCUCCACCCACCGCCGGUUCACGGAUCAAGAUCAGGUGUUGUUGUGGAUAUCUCGGAAGCACGAGGCGUGACAAAGAGGGACUGCUGGUAGCGCAUGUAUCGGAGGUGCGGUGGAUGGUGGAGGCACGUACGAUGUGGGGAUUGGGGUAUUGAAGUGAAUUUUGUUUUGGUUUUGGGCUGUUUUGGGUUAUAGGAUUGGGCUAGUGGUUAAUGGGUUUGAUUAGUAGGCUAGGCAAAGAAAAUUGGUCCAACAGGGUUUAUGAUGUCCAAUUAAAUAAGUAUGACUUUGUACCUUUUGUUGACUCUUACUCUAGUGGAAAAGAGAUUUGUGAUGGUGAACUUUGUGAACUGGAAAAAGAUGUUAGUAAGAAUUUUUUCCUUAAAUUUAUAGAGUUAGAUGAGAUAGAAA